rnacentral:rRNA from 1 species
UAACACAUGCAAGUCGAGGGGCAGCAUUUUAGUUUGCAAGCAAACUAAAGAUGGCGACCGGCGCACGGGUGAGUAGCACGUAUCCAACCUGCCGAUAACUCAGGGAUAGCCUUUCGAAAGAAAGAUUAAUACCUGAUGGCAUAGGAUUAUCGCAUGAUAAUCCUAUUAAAGAAUUUCGGUUAUCGAUGGGGAUGCGUUCCAUUAGGCAGUUGGUGAGGUAACGGCUCACCAAACCUUCGAUGGAUAGGGGUUCUGAGAGGAAGGUCCCCCACAUUGGAACUGAGACACGGUCCAAACUCCUACGGGAGGCAGCAGUGAGGAAUAUUGGUCAAUGGACGGGAGUCUGAACCAGCCAAGUAGCGUGAAGGAUGACUGUCCUAUGGGUUGUAAACUUCUUUUAUACGGGAAUAAAGUGAUCCACGUGUGGAUUUUUGUAUGUACCGUAUGAAUAAGGAUCGGCUAACUCCGUGCCAGCAGCCGCGGUAAUACGGAGGAUCCGAGCGUUAUCCGGAUUUAUUGGGUUUAAAGGGAGCGUAGGUGGAUUGUUAAGUCAGUUGUGAAAGUUUGCGGCUCAACCGUAAAAUUGCAGUUGAUACUGGCAGUCUUGAGUACAGUAGAGGUGGGCGGAAUUCGUGGUGUAGCGGUGAAAUGCUUAGAUAUCACGAAGAACUCCGAUUGCGAAGGCAGCUCACUGGACUGCNACUGACACUGAUGCUCG